CAGAGCGUAACUUAAUAGCUAAAGUUUCUCCCUUACACUGAGAGGAUACCUGUGCAACUCGGGUCACUCUGA
rnacentral:tRNA from 2 species